rnacentral:rRNA from 1 species
UACGUAGGGGGCAAGCGUUGUCCGGAAUCAUUGGGCGUAAAGCGCGUGUAGGCGGCUUAGUAAGUCUGCUCUGAAAGCCCGGGGCUCAACCCUGGGAGGCGGGUGGAUACUGCUGAGCUUGAGUCCGGAAGAGGCGAGUGGAAUUCCUGGUGUAGCGGUGAAAUGCGCAGAUAUCAGGAGGAACACCAAUGACGAAGGCAGCUCGCUGGGACGGUACUGACGCUGAGACGCGAAAGCGUGGGGAGCAAACAGG